AAAGGAAUUGACGGGGGCCCGCACAAGCGGAGGAACAUGUGGUUUAAUUCGAUGAUACGCGAGGAACCUUACCCGGGCUUGAAAUGGGGAGGAAUGGCCGUGAAAGCGGUCAGUCAGCAAUGACCUCCCUGUAGGUGCUGCAUGGUUGUCGUCAGCUCGUGCCGUGAGGUGUCGGCUUAAGUGCCAUAACGAGCGCAACCCCUGCCGCCAGUUGCCAUCAUUUAAGGUGGGCACUCUGGCGGGACUGCCUCCGCAAGGAGCGAGGAAGGUGGGGAUGACGUCAAAUCAGCACGGCCCUUACGUCCGGGGCGACACACGUGUUACAAUGGGGGGUACAGAGGGCAGCGACACCGCGAGGUGAGGCGAAUCUCACAAAACCCCUCCCAGUUCGGAUCGGAGUCUGCAACCCGACUCCGUGAAGCUGGAUUCGCUAGUAAUCGCGCAUCAGCCAUGGCGCGGUGAAUACGUUCCCGGGCCUUGUACACACCGCCCGU
rnacentral:rRNA from 1 species